rnacentral:snRNA from 11 species
UUACUCACCUGGCAUGAGAGAUACCAUGACUGCAAAAAUUGUUUUCCCAAGGCGAGGUUUAUCCAUUGCACCCCAUACGAGCUGACCCCUGUGAUUUCCCCAAAUGUGGGA